GGGCCCGCGGGUCCCCCGGCUACCGUGCGCAUUUAAUAUUAACAUCACGUUCAAAGUUCGCAUUACUAGUUUGUCAAUUAAAAGUUGGAAGCAAAAGCGAAGUUAAUCAAUGUUUUAGUAACAGUAAAAGCAAUUUCGUUUCGUGAAAAACAUCUUCGUAAGUCUAUUUGGAGAUUGUUUCGAGGAACACUUUGGAGAAUAUAUAUUGGCUGGACACCAAUACCUACUGUAUUUAUGAUUCAGAGAUAUUUCCUACAGUUCGAUUCCUCAAAAGGUAUGUUUUAAGAACAAAAAAAAGUGAUCGUUUACGAAAAAA